rnacentral:rRNA from 1 species
GAUGAACGCUGACAGAAUGCUUAACACAUGCAAGUCUACUUGAUCCUUCGGGUGAUGGUGGCGGACGGGUGAGUAACGCGUGGGUAACCUGCCUCAUACAGGGGGAUAACAGUUAGGAAAUGACUGCUAAUACCGCAUAAGCGCACGUCAUCGCAUGAUGGUGUGUGAAAAACUCCGGUGGUAUGAGAUGGACCUGCGUCUGAUUAGGUAGUUGGUGGGGUAACGGCCCACCAAGCCGACGAUCAGUAGCCGACCUGAGAGGGUGACCGGCCACAUUGGGACUGAGACACGGCCCAA